rnacentral:tRNA from 1 species
GCUGAUAUAGCUCAGUCGGUAGAGCGCAUCCUUGGUAAGGAUGAGGUCGGCAGUUCGACUCUGCCUAUCAGCA